rnacentral:lncRNA from 1 species
ACCCUUUUAAUAACUUGGGCUAUGGCCAUUCAUUUCAUUCAUGCUGUAUACUUAUUGUAGUAUAUGAAUAAUAAGGAAAGUGUUUAUAUAUACUAGUGCUAUAUGUAUAGGUACAUGUCUAUAAAUAUGCACACCACCUUUCCUUUCUCUAAAACUACUACUCAUAUAAUUAACCCCACCAAAAUAGAAACCCACACACAAAUUCAUACA